UGUAAGCGUAUACCAAAGUUGUUGCAGUUAAAACGCUCGUAGUCGGAAUUUGGCAGUUCCGGAUGUGUGCACGUCGUGUGCGCACUUCGCGGGGAUUGCUUUUGUGGUCUUGCGUAGGAUGAGGCACUUUUAUUAGUGAACGUCCUCACGCAACCACUUUUUACUGUGAGAAAAUCAGAGUGCUCAAAGCAGGCAUUUGCCGUGAAUGUAUUAGCAUGGAAUAAUAGAAUAGGACUUGGUUCCAUUUUGUUGGUUUGUUGGGACUGAGUAAUGAUUAAGAGGGACAGUUGGGGGCAUUUGUAUUUCGGUGCUAGAGGUGAAAUUCUUAGAUUACCGAAAGACAAACUGCUGCGAAAGCGUCUGCCAAGGAUGUUUUCAUUGA
rnacentral:rRNA from 1 species